CUCAAAAAUACUUUUUAAGCUCUAGCAGAUGUCCAUCCCUGAGAACCUGAAUGCACGGUUUGAAACGCCACCAAAAGCUGAAGCGGUUGAGAGAAAAUCCAGAUUCAAUCAAGGGGGGAGUCUGAAUCCUGUGUAGACUCCUUCAGCGUCAGGUAGCUGCUGGUGGAUCCGGAGGAUGACACAUCUGCCACCAGAACCACCAGUACGCCAUCAGCACUGCCAGUACGCCAUCAGCACUGCCAGUACGCCAUCAGCACCGCCAGUACGCCACCUGCCUACCACCAGUACCCCAUCAGCACCGCCAGUAUGCCACCUGCCUACCACCUGUACGCCACCUGCCUACCACCAGUACGCCACCUGCCUACCACCAGUACACCACCUGCCUACCACCAGUACGCCACCUGCCUACCACCAGCACACCACCUGCCUACCACCAGUACGCCACCUGCCUACCACCAGCACGCCACCUGCCUACCACCUGCCUAAUGUUUAUGACCAAAGCCAUGUUUUGACAACAGUAUGCUCAGUUCUCUGGCUCAACAGUCUAAAGUGCCAUCCUCUUCUUGUCUACUUCCCCAAUCAGUUGUGAUACAGGAUAUGAAGUCAAUUCCUGUCCUGCCCUCAGUGGAAGAGUUGAGCUCUUCUCCAACACCCUCCAUCCAUGAUGAGCCUGUCUUGCACGGCUACUUCCUGACCUUGCCCCCCCCCCACCACCACAUUUUUUAACUCAUGUAAUCCCUCCCCUCUCAACACCGAUCCUAUCAGGAAUGAGUGCCUAUCUCUCUCCCAGCACUCAUACUGGUCAGACUCCAAAGGAUAUCCUGUACCCCGCAGCAGCAUCCAUGGUAAACUUGGACAGUCUGUUCAUACAGUGCUGCCUGCUAAAACCUGAUCCCCCAACAUCUGUCCAUACAUUACCACCUGCUAAAACCUGAUCCCCCCCAACAUCUGUCCGUGCAUUACCACAUGCUAAAACCUGAUCCCCCAACAUCUGUCCGUACAUUACCACCUGCUAAAACCUGAUCCCCCAACAUCUGUCCGUACAUUACCACCUGCUAAAACCUGAUCCCUCAACAUCUGUCCGUGCAUUACCACCUGCGAAAACCUGAUUCCCCAACAUCUGUCCAUACAUUACCACCUGCAAAAACCUGAUCCCCCAACAUCUGUCCGUACAUUACCACCUGCUAAAACCUGAUCCCCCAACAUCUGUCCGUACAUUACCACCUGCUAAAACCUGAUCCCUCAACAUCUGUCCGUGCAUUACCACCUGCUAAAACCUGAUCCCACAACAUCUGUCCAUAUAGUACAACAUGCCAACUUGUGAAAAAUAAAGACUCAGUGUACCUUGUUUUCACUCA